GCGGGGCUGCCCGGUUCGACGGCAAUUCAUCCCCUGGGCCGAUAAGCACUUCCUCGGGAGCUGGCUCUGACGUGGCCUUGGUCACGUUAUCCGGCGCCCACCUGCACUUGCAGGCUCUGGGAGGCUGACAGUCCGACGGCCAUGGCGGCUCCGCA
rnacentral:other from 1 species